GACGAACGCUGGCGGCGUGCUUAACACAUGCAAGUCGAACGGAAAGGCCCUGCUUUUGUGGGGUGCUCGAGUGGCGAACGGGUGAGUAACACGUGAGUAACCUGCCCUUGACUUUGGGAUAACUUCAGGAAACUGGGGCUAAUACCGGAUAGGAGCUCCUGCUGCAUGGUGGGGGUUGGAAAGUUUCGGCGGUUGGGGAUGGACUCGCGGCUUAUCAGCUUGUUGGUGGGGUAGUGGCUUACCAAGGCCUUGACGGGUAGCCGGCCUGAGAGGGUGACCGGCCACAUUGGGACUGAGAUACGGCCCAGACUCCUACGGGAGGCAGCAGUGGGGAAUAUUGCACAAUGGGCGGAAGCCUGAUGCAGCAACGCCGCGUGCGGGAUGACGGCCUGCGGGUUGUAAACCGCUUUCGCCUGUGACGAAGCGUGAGUGACGGUAAUGGGUAAAGAAGCACCGGCUAACUACGUG
rnacentral:rRNA from 1 species